CCCUUAGAUGUUCUGGGCCGCACGCGCGCUACACUGACAGAGUACAAUAAGUGCUCCUGCGUCGAAAGACGUGGGUAAUCUGCCAAACUCUGUCGUGCUGGGGAUAGACCUUUGCAAUUAUGGGUCUUCAACGAGGAAUGCCUAGUAAACGUAGGUCAUCAGCCUACAUUGAUUACGUCCCUGCUCUUUGUACACACCGCCCGUCGCACCUACCGAUUGGAUGGUCCGGUGAAGUGCUCGGACCAUUGCAGCGUGCCUUCUGGCGUGCAGCAGUGGGAAGUCCACUAAACCUUAUCAUCUAGAGGAAGGUGAAGUCGUANCA
rnacentral:rRNA from 1 species